UACGGAGGGGGCGAGCGUUAUUCGGAAUUAUUGGGCGUAAAGGGCGCGUAGGCGGCUUCAUAAGUCAAAGGUGAAAUCCCUCGGCUCAACUGAGGAACUGCCUUUGAAACUGUCUGGCUUGAGGCCGGGAGAGGGUAGCGGAAUUCCCAGUGUAGCGGUGAAAUGCGUAGAUAUUGGGAGGAACACCAGUGGCGAAGGCGGCUACCUGGACCGGUUCUGACGCUGAGGCGCGAAAGCGUGGGUAGCAAACAGG
rnacentral:rRNA from 1 species